rnacentral:rRNA from 1 species
CGAACUCUGGUAUUGAUUGGUGCUUGCAUCAUGAUUUACAUUUGAGUGAGUGGCGAACUGGUGAGUAACACGUGGGAAACCUGCCCAGAAGCGGGGGAUAACACCUGGAAACAGAUGCUAAUACCGCAUAACAACUUGGACCGCAUGGUCCGAGUUUGAAAGAUGGCUUCGGCUAUCACUUUUGGAUGGUCCCGCGGCGUAUUAGCUAGAUGGUGGGGUAACGGCUCACCAUGGCAAUGAUACGUAGCCGACCUGAGAGGGUAAUCGGCCACAUUGGGACUGAGACACGGCCCAAACUCCUACGGGAGGCAGCAGUAGGGAAUCUUCCACAAUGGACGAAAGUCUGAUGGAGCAACGCCGCGUGAGUGAAGAAGGGUUUCGGCUCGUAAAACUCUGUUGUUAAAGAAGAACAUAUCUGAGAGUAACUGUUCAGGUAUUGACGGUAUUUAACCAGAAAGCCACGGCUAACUACGUGCCAGCAGCCGCGGUAAUACGUAGGUGGCAAGCGUUGUCCGGAUUUAUUGGGCGUAAAGCGAGCGCAGGCGGUUUUUUAAGUCUGAUGUGAAAGCCUUCGGCUCAACCGAAGAAGUGCAUCGGAAACUGGGAAACUUGAGUGCAGAAGAGGACAGUGGAACUCCAUGUGUAGCGGUGAAAUGCGUAGAUAUAUGGAAGAACACCAGUGGCGAAGGCGGCUGUCUGGUCUGUAACUGACGCUGAGGCUCGAAAGUAUGGGUAGCAAACAGGAUUAGAUACCCUGGUAGUCCAUACCGUAAACGAUGAAUGCUAAGUGUUGGAGGGUUUCCGCCCUUCAGUGCUGCAGCUAACGCAUUAAGCAUUCCGCCUGGGGAGUACGGCCGCAAGGCUGAAACUCAAAGGAAUUGACGGGGGCCCGCACAAGCGGUGGAGCAUGUGGUUUAAUUCGAAGCUACGCGAAGAACCUUACCAGGUCUUGACAUACUAUGCAAAUCUAAGAGAUUAGACGUUCCCUUCGGGGACAUGGAUACAGGUGGUGCAUGGUUGUCGUCAGCUCGUGUCGUGAGAUGUUGGGUUAAGUCCCGCAACGAGCGCAACCCUUAUUAUCAGUUGCCAGCAUUAAGUUGGGCACUCUGGUGAGACUGCCGGUGACAAACCGGAGGAAGGUGGGGAUGACGUCAAAUCAUCAUGCCCCUUAUGACCUGGGCUACACACGUGCUACAAUGGAUGGUACAACGAGUUGCGAACUCGCGAGAGUAAGCUAAUCUCUUAAAGCCAUUCUCAGUUCGGAUUGUAGGCUGCAACUCGCCUACAUGAAGUCGGAAUCGCUAGUAAUCGCGGAUCAGCAUGCCGCGGUGAAUACGUUCCCGGGCCUUGUACACACCGCCCGUCACACCAUGAGAGUUUGUAACACCCAAAGUCGGUGGGGUAACCUUUUAGGAACCAGCCGCCUA